rnacentral:rRNA from 1 species
GACGAACGCUGGCGGCGUGCUUAACACAUGCAAGUCGAACGGAGUUGCAGGAGAGCUUGCUUGAAUGCAACUUAGUGGCGAACGGGUGAGUAACGCGUGAGUAACCUGUCUCAUACAGGGGGAUAACGCAUCGAAAGGUGUGCUAAUACCGCAUAAGACCACAGAGCCGCAUGGUUCAGGGGUCAAAGGAGCAAUCCGGUAUGAGGUGGACUCGCGUCUGAUUAGAUAGUUGGUGAGGUAACGGCUCACCAAGUCGACGAUCGGUAGCCGACCUGAGAGGGUGAUCGGCCACAUUGGGACUGAGACACGGCCCAG